rnacentral:rRNA from 1 species
AUUGAACGCUGGCGGCAGGCCUAACACAUGCAAGUCGAACGGGUGGCGGGCGGGUGAGUAAUGUCUGGGAAACUGCCAGCUGGAGGGGGCUAACUACAGGAAACGGUAGCUCAUACCGCAUACCAUCGGAUGGGUCCAGAGGUGAUUAGCUAGUAGGUGGGGUAACGGCUCACCUAGGCGACGAUCCCUAGCUGGUCUGAGAGGAUGACCAGCCACACUGGAACUUAGACACGGUCCAGACGCCUACGGGAGGCAGCAGUGGGGAAUAUUGGACAAUGGGAGAAAGCCUGAUUCAGCCAUGCCGCGUGUAUGAAGAAGGCCUUCGGGUUGUAAAGUACUUUCAGCGAGGAGGCGUUACUCGCAGAAGAAGCACCGGCUAACUCCGUGCCAGCAGCCGCGGUAAUAC